AAGAGAAGUACGCAGGCUAAGAUCGCCACAUCCUGUGAUAACGCCUGCAUGAUCAACAUCCUGUUGA
rfam:Sporosarcina newyorkensis 2681 genomic scaffold SCAFFOLD3, whole genome shotgun sequence.